AUUGAACGCUGGCGGCAUGCCUAACACAUGCAAGUCGAGCGGUAGAGAGAAGCUUGCUUCUCUUGAGAUCGGCGGACGGGUGGGUAAUGCCUAGGAAUCUGCCUGGUCGUUGGGGAUAACGUUCUGAAACGGACGCUAAUCCCACAUCCGUCCUACUGUAGAAAGCGGGUGACCUUCGGGCCUUGCGCUUUCAGAUGAGCCUAGGUUGGAUUAGCUAGGUGGUGGGGUAAUGGCUCACCAAGGCGACGAUCCGUAACUGGUCUGAGAGGAUGAUCAGUCACACUGGAACUGAGACACGGUCCAGACUCCUACGGGAGGAAGCAGUGGGGAAUAUUGGACAAUGGGCGAAAGCCUGAUACAGCAAUGCCGCGUGUGUGAAGAAGGUCUUCGGAUUGUAAAGCGCUGUAAGUUGGGAGGAAGGGAAGUACAUUAAUACGUUGCGGUUUUGACGGUACCGACAGAAUAAGCACCGGCUAACUCUGUG
rnacentral:rRNA from 1 species